UACCAGCACCCCGAGUGGUCGGGACGUUUAUUGGGCCUAAAGCAUCCGUAGCCGGUUCUACAAGUCUUCCGUUAAAUCCACCUGCUUAACAGAUGGGCUGCGGAAGAUACUAUAGAGCUAGGAGGCGGGAGAGGCAAGCGGUACUCGAUGGGUAGGGGUAAAAUCCGUUGAUCCAUUGAAGACCACCAGUGGCGAAGGCGGCUCACUGGACCGGCAUUGACGCUGAGGUGCGAAAGCGUGGGGAGCAAACAGG
rnacentral:rRNA from 1 species